rnacentral:tRNA from 1 species
ACCUGGCUGGCUCAGUUGGUAGAGCGCACGACUUUUGAUCUCGGGGUUGUGGGUUUGAGAUCCAUGCUGGGGG